rnacentral:rRNA from 1 species
GGGCCCGCACAAGCGGUGGAGUAUGUGGUUUAAUUCGAUGCAACGCGAAGAACCUUACCAGGGUUUGACAUCCUGCGAAUCUCUUGGAAACAGGAGAGUGCCUUCGGGAACGCAGUGACAGGUGGUGCAUGGCUGUCGUCAGCUCGUGUCGUGAGAUGUUGGGUUAAGUCCCGCAACGAGCGCAACCCACGUCUUUAGUUACCAGCACUUCGGGUGGGAACUCUAAGGAUACUGCCAGUGACAAACUGGAGGAAGGCGGGGACGACGUCAAGUCAUCAUGGCCCUUACGACCAGGGCUACACACGUGCUACAAUGGUAGGUACAGAGGGCAGCUACACAGCGAUGUGAUGCGAAUCUCAAAAAGCCUAUCGUAGUCCAGAUUGGAGUCUGCAACUCGACUCCAUGAAGUAGGAAUCGCUAGUAAUCGCGGAUC